CCAAUAGCGUAUAUUAAAGUUGUUGCAGUUAAAAAGCUCGUAGUUGAAUUUCGGGGUUAGUAGGUUGGUCAUGCCUCUGGUAUGUACUGGUCUCACUGAUUCCUCCUUCCUGAUGAGCCGUAAUGCCAUUAAUUUGGUGUUGCGGGGAAUUUGGACUGUUACUUUGAAAAAAUUAGAGUGUUUAAAGCAAGCUAACGCUUGAAUACAUUAGCAUGGAAUAAUGAAAUAGGACGUUCGAUCCUAUUUUGUUGGUUUCUAGGAUUGACGUAAUGAUUAAUAGGGAUAGUUGGGGGCAUUAGUAUUCAAUUGUCAGAGGUGAAAUUCUUGGAUUUAUUGAAGACUAACUACUGCGAAAGCAUUUGCCAAGGAUGUUUUCAUGAAUCAAGAACGAAAGUUAGGGGAUCGAAGACGAUCAGAUAGCGUCGUAGUCUUAACCAUAAACUAUGCCGACUAGGGAUCGGAUGAUGUUAAUUUUUUAAUGACUCAUUCGGCGCCUUACG
rnacentral:rRNA from 1 species